UUCUGGCAGAUUAAAACUGUGUGCCGGACCGAGACUCGAACUCGGGACUGAGUUUGAGUCUCAGUCCGGCACACAGUUUUAAUCUGCCAGGAUGUUUCCUAUCACCUUAAUCUCCAAAAUAUUUACAUUACCUCUAGCUAAAACUAAAGAUAUGCAGUAGUAUAGAUUUACUAAUCAUUACAUUAU